GGAAACAAUUAAAAAAAGAGCCAGUAUCAACUUGCGAGAGCAAACGGAGAUGCGCAGAGCCAAAACCAUCAUGGCAGCUGUCCAUUUAGAGCUUUUGGAUAAUGCAGCCAUUGUGAAGAAAAUACAAAUAGAAUUGGCCAGAAAGAUACUGCAAACAGGACCUCUUCACAAAGAGCUUUUGGACACAAUGAAAAAAAGAGCCAGUAUUAACUUACGAGAAGAAACGGAGAUGCGUAGAGCCAAAACCAUCACGGCUGCGGUC